GGAAGUCUCACCGCGCAGCAGCACCCCCAGCCCGGGCGGUUCCGGGGACCGAAGGGCGCGGCACGUAGGGGGCCCGUAGGAUCCAAACUGCGGAGGAGAAGCAGGAGGAGGGAGGAGGAAGAAGACAAAGGUACCCUACAAGGUUUGCACAAAGCAAGAAAGCAUCAUGUAACCGAAAUGCUGAAAAGUAUAGAUGCUGCAAAACCUCAUUCUGAGACUGAGAACUAUGAAUAGUCAGUGUAUUUCCUUCUGCGGUGCAGAAAAAGAACAACCAAAAAGAAAGCAACAAGGGGAGAUGUUAUUUAUUUUAAUGACACCAAAACUACCAAUCCUAGCAAUUUAAUAAAUUAAAAUCAUAGUCCUUUAAAUGUAUUUAAUGGUUCAAGUUUGUGUAUUUGGUGUUAACUCUCUGGUAAAGUUUAUGGAAAACAGUGAAGUACGUUAAUUGAGCAAAUUUUAUAUUAAAAAAGGAAUAACACAUUUUAAAAUGUUUUUAUAUACCCACAAUAUUUGUGUUUCUUAGCUUGGUUCCUACUAUUACAUAAUACAAUGCAUUUCUUAUUUUUUAAAGAGCAAAAAGUGUUGUCACUUCUGGAUCACUUUAUGGUAAUUCCUAGGUAUACUUCUAAGCAAACAAAC
rnacentral:lncRNA from 10 species